rnacentral:rRNA from 1 species
AGAGUUUGAUCCUGGCUCAGGAUGAACGCUAGCGGCAGGCUUAACACAUGCAAGUCGCGGGGCAGCGUGGGUGUAGCAAUACACCUGACGGCGACCGGCGGAAGGGUGCGUAACGCGUGAGCAACUUGCCCGUAUCUGGGACAUAACCGGUGGAAACGCCGCCUAAUUUCCCAUAACAACAGAGAAGACAUCUUCUUUGUUUGAAAGCUCCGGCGGAUACGGAUGGGCUCGCGUGACAUUAGCUAGUUGGAGUGGUAACGGCUCACCAAGUCGACGAUCAGUAGGGGUUCUGAGAGGAAGGUCCCCCACAUUGGAACUGAGACACGGUCCAAACUCCUACGGGAGGCAGCAGUGAGGAAUAUUGGUCAAUGGGCGAGAGCCUGAACCAGCCAAGUCGCGUGAAGGAUGAAGGUUCUAUGGAUUGUAAACUUCUUUUGUCUGAGGGUAAAGUGAGUCACGUGUGGCUUAUUGCAAGUAUCAGACGAAUAAGCAUCGGCUAACUCCGUGCCAGCAGCCGCGGUAAUACGUAGGGGGCGAGCGUUAUCCGGAUUUACUGGGUGUAAAGGGCGCGUAGGCGGUUUCAGCAAGUCAGGUGUGAAAACAACGGGCUUAACCCGUUGACUGCCUUUGAAACUGUUGGACUUGAGUGCUGGAGAGGUAGACGGAAUUCCUUGUGUAGCGGUGAAAUGCGUAGAUAUAAGGAAGAACACCGGUGGCGAAGGCGGUCUACUGGACAGUAACUGACGCUGAGGCACGAAAGCGUGGGGAGCAAAUAGGAUUAGAUACCCUAGUAGUCCACGCCCUAAACGAUGAAUACUAAAUGUUGAGGUAACUCAGUGUUGCAGCUAACGCAAUAAGUAUUCCGCCUGAGGAGUAUGCACGCAAGUGUAAAACUUAAAGGAAUUGACGGGGCCCCGCACAAGCGGUGGAGUAUGUGGUUUAAUUCGACGCAACGCGAAGAACCUUACCAGGCCUUGACAUCCCUUGCAAAACUAUAGAGAUAUAGCAGAGGUUAUCAAGGUGACAGGUGGUGCAUGGUUGUCGUCAGCUCGUGUCGUGAGAUGUUGGGUUAAGUCCCGCAACGAGCGCAACCCUUAUCUUUAGUUACCAUCAUUCAGUUGGGGACUCUAGAGAGACUGCCGGUGACAAACCGGAGGAAGGUGGGGAUGACGUCAAAUCAUCAUGCCCUUUAUGGCCUGGGCUACACACGUACUACAAUGGCGCAUACAACGAGAAGCAAUACGGCGACGUGGAGCUAAUCUUCAAAAUGCGUCUCAGUUCGGAUCGAAGUCUGCAACUCGACUUCGUGAAGUUGGAAUCGCUAGUAAUCGCGAAUCAGCAUGUCGCGGUGAAUACAUUCUCGGGGCUUGUACUCACCGCCCGUCAAG